rnacentral:rRNA from 1 species
AGAGUUUGAUCCUGGCUCAGGAUGAACGCUGGCGGUAUGCCUAACACAUGCAAGUCGUACGAGAGUUUUUAACUCUAGUGGCGGACGGGUGAGUAACACGUAAGAAUUUACCUUCAGGAGGGGGAUAACAAUUGGAAACAAAUGCUAAUACCCCAUAUGCUUUCGAGUGAAAUGGAUUUAUAUUUAUCCGCCUAAAGAGAAGCUUGCGUCUGAUUAGCUUGUUGGUAAGGUAAAAGCUUACCAAGGCGACGAUCAGUAUCUGGUUUGAGAGGACGAUCAGACACACUGGAACUGAGACACGGUCCAGACUCCUACGGGAGGCAGCAGUGGGGAAUUUUCCGCAAUGGGCGAAAGCCUGACGGAGCAAUACCGCGUGAGGGAAGACUGCCUAUGGGUUGUAAACCUCUUUUUUCAGGGAGGAACAAAAGGACGUGUACCUGAAGAAUAAG